GAUGAACGCUGGCGGCGUGCCUAAUACAUGCCAGUCGAGCGAACAGACGAGGAGCUUGCUCCUCUGACGUUAGCGGCGGACGGGUGAGUAACACGUGGAUAACCUACCUAUAAGACUGGGAUAACUUCGGGAACCGGAGCUAAUACCGGAUAAUAUAUUGAACCGCAUGGUUCAAUAGUGAAAGACGGUUUUGCUGUCACUUAUAGAUGGAUCCGCGCCGCAUUAGCUAGUUGGUAAGGUAACGGCUUACCAAGGCAACGAUGCGUAGCCGACCUGAGAGGGUGAUCGGCCACACUGGAACUGAGACACGGUCCAGACUCCUACGGGAGGCAGCAGUAGGGAAUCUUCCGCAAUGGGCGAAAGCCUGACGGAGCAACGCCGCGUGAGUGAUGAAGGUCUUCGGAUCGUAAAACUCUGUUAUUAGGGAAGAACAAAUGUGUAAGUAACUAUGCACGUCUUGACGGUACCUAAUCAGAAAGCCACGGCUAACUACGUG
rnacentral:rRNA from 1 species